GAUUAUGGCUCAGGAUGAACGCUGGCGGCAGGCUUAAUACAUGCAAGUCGAACGGUAAGGCCGACGGUAGCAAUACUGGAGGCACACGAGUGGCGCACGGGUGCGUAACGCGUAUGCAACCUGCCCCCGACCGGGACAAAACGCUGAGAAAUCGGCGCUAAUAUCCCAUGCUGACCAAGGGCGGCAUCGCCCGUGGUCGAAAGAUUGAUUGGUCGGGGAUGGGCAUGCGUGGCAUUAGCUGGUUGGCGGGGUAACGGCCCACCAAGGCGACGAUGCCUAGGGGUUCUGAGAGGAAGGUCCCCCACACUGGAACUGAGACACGGUCCAGACUCCUACGGGAGGCAGCAGUAGGGAAUAUUGGGCAAUGGGAGCAAUCCUGACCCAGCCAUGCCGCGUGAAGGAAGACGGCCCUACGGGUUGUAAACUUCUUUUGCCAGAGAGUAACCGCCGCGACGCGUCGCGGCCUGAGAGUAUCUGGCGAAUAAGCACCGGCUAACUCCGUGCCAGCCGCAGC
rnacentral:rRNA from 1 species